rfam:Alloiococcus otitis ATCC 51267 genomic scaffold supercont1.2, whole genome shotgun sequence.
GGUAUUGUUUACCCCAUGAUAAGCCCCGGAAACUUAUUGUGUGACCGAUUGUAAACAAAUG